GGAGGGAUGGCCGAGUGGCUUAAGGCGCACGAUUGGAAAUCGUGUUCACCGAAAGGUGUCCGGGGUUCGAAUCCCCGUCCCUCCGCCA
rnacentral:tRNA from 1 species